CCUACGGGAGGCAGCAGUGGGGAAUAUUGGGCAAUGGAGGCAACUCUGACCCAGCAACGCCGCGUGAAGGAAGAAGGCCUUAUGGUUGUAAACUUAUGUUGUAAAGGAAGAAAAGAAUGACGGUACUUUACAAGAAAGCCCCGGCUAACGAUGUGCCAGCAGCCGCGGUAAGACAUAGGGGGCAAGCGUUGUUCGGAAUUAAUGGGUGUAAAGGGAGCGUAGGCGGGAUAUUAAGUUAAGAGUGAAAGCUUUGGGCUCAACCCAAGAAAUGCUCUUAAUACUGGUAUUCUAGAGUGUGGGAGAGGUAAGUGGAAUUCGUGGUGUAGCGGUAGAAUGCGUAGAGAGUAGGAGGAACAUCAGAUGCGAAGGCAGCUUACUGGACCAUAACUGACGCUGAGGCUCGAAAGCGUGGGGAGCAAACAGGAUUAGAUACCCUUGUAGUC
rnacentral:rRNA from 1 species